rnacentral:rRNA from 1 species
GUGUCAGCAGCCGCGGUAAUACGUAGGGUGCGAGCGUUGUCCGGAAUUAUUGGGCGUAAAGGGCUCGUAGGCGGUUUGUCGCGUCGGGAGUGAAAACCAGGUGCUUAACACCUGGCUUGCUUUCGAUACGGGCAGACUAGAGGUAUUCAGGGGAGAACGGAAUUCCUGGUGUAGCGGUGAAAUGCGCAGAUAUCAGGAGGAACACCGGUGGCGAAGGCGGUUCUCUGGGAAUGACCUGACGCUGAGGAGCGAAAGUGUGGGGAGCGAACAGGAUUAGAUACCCCCGUAGUCC